rnacentral:rRNA from 1 species
UUGGGGUGAAGUCGUAACAAGGUAGCCGUAUCGGAAGGUGCGGCUGGAUCACCUCCUUUCUAAGGAAUUUAAUU